rnacentral:rRNA from 1 species
CUACCCUAAGCUAGCCAUAAAUAAUAAUUAAUAUAAAUAUUUAUCUAACCCAUAAUACACCAUAAAUAAAAACUAAAACAUUCGUCCACCUAAGUAAAG